AUUGAACGCUGGCGGCAGGCCUAACACAUGCAAGUCGAGCGGAUGAUGGGAGCUUGCUCCUUGAUUCAGCGGCGGACGGGUGAGUAAUGCCUAGGAAUCUGCCUGGUAGUGGGGGACAACGUUUCGAAAGGAACGCUAAUACCGCAUAAUGUCUACGGACCAAAGUGUGGGACCUUCGGGCCACAUGCCAUCGGAUGCGCCUACGUGGGAUUAGCUAGUUGGUGGGGUAAUGGCUCACCAAGGCGACGAUCCCUAGCUGGUUUGAGAGGAUGAUCAGCCACACUGGAACUGAGACACGGUCCAGACUCCUACGGGAGGCAGCAGUGGGGAAUAUUGGACAAUGGGCGCAAGCCUGAUCCAGCCAUGCCGCGUGUGUGAAGAAGGCCUUCGGGUUGUAAAGCACUUUCAGUAGGGAGGAAGAGUUGAGUGUUAAUAGUACUCAGCUUUGACGUUACCUACAGAAGAAGCACCGGCUAACUCUGUGCCAGCAGCCGCCGUAACAC
rnacentral:rRNA from 1 species